rnacentral:lncRNA from 1 species
CAUGGAGUAGUAGUAAGUGCAUUAGAUUUCAUACAUUUCCAUCAAAUUGAAACUCUUAAAGAGUUGUUUAGAUGAGGUAUUUGGAUGAUUUAUUUUGGCUCAAAUACCUCAUUCUGAGUUAUCGGGACAAUGGUAUUUGAAAUAUUAGCUUGCAAACCGAACAAAAGUCUUAAUUCAAAGAACAAACUAAAUACAAACCAAUGAAUCAAAAUGAAAAACAUAUGCAAGGAGUUGGGAGUCACCCAAACUCUCUCUAAACCCUAGUGGUAGCGGUUAAACCUUCCUGCUGCAACUAGUAAAAGUUUCUUCUCUGCAGAAGUACUUCGUUGCUGCUGCAACUCAUCGAGAACAAUCUGAUUCUUCCGGCACUCACGGGAGCAAAAUGCGCCCAAGUAACUGCAUAAUAGCAUUAUGAGACAAGUAACAUUUUCCUUUAUGUCGGAUGAAAGCAAAGAAUAUAGUACUGACCCAAAAUCAAUGCAAUGGUCGACAAUAUAAGAUUACAGCCAAAUCCAUUGUAGGAUUCACAAAAUAAAUCGUAGCUUCUGACAACCUUGCUAAAUACAAAUUUGAUAUAGGGUGGAUAUUCGACCAAUGUCAUCCAAAAAUCAACAUCGUUUUGUGAAACAAAACGUAUGCUAUGUGAUCUUAUCAAAUAUCUUCGAAGGGAUAUGCUUUUGCUACAUAAUGUCGAUCACAAAUAGAGGGUUUUUUCGAAGUUUGUCAAACCAAACAAGAUUAGUUUAAAGAUGAAUACUAAGAAGAAUUCUUGCCGUCUUUAUACUAACAUACAGAAAACUCUCCAAAGGUGGAUGUGAUGAAAUUCAAACAAAGUCAAUGUAAGAUAGUCUUUAAGAUUCAACAUUAUCAUUCAAAUAAGAAAAUUUUCUCCAUUUUUCUUUCUCUCUUGAUGGACAAAAGAAAAUUACAGUUGAAUAUGUAUACAUAUAAUCUUAUCUUCCUCAAUUCCAUCACUUGGAGUUCGACGCAAACAACUUUGAGAAGAAUUCUGAUCCGAAAGCCAAAACACACAAACAAUCUUCAUCAGGUUUUGAACAGGAAAAUUAACGAACGUAAAUAAAUAUUUUUUUUACCUUUUUUCUCGCAAAUAUAAAGUACAUACCUAUAAUCGGUUUGUUAUAGCAUGAGGUUGAACAACUCAUUUGGCAAAAUUCACGAUUCUCGUUAUGAUGCGACUCAUUGCAUUCAUCUUCACAAGGUCGGCGGCAACCUAUUGAGCCACCGUCCGCGGCCGAAACUGUAUCAAUCACUAAUGCCGAUGUAAAAUACACGAUGAUUAUAAUUGAUGCCACAACUUUUGAACUCGCCAUUUCUUAAUUUCUCUUUCUCGUUCUCCUCCUUUCUUAAUUUAUCCGGUAAAUGAUCCUUUUGCUCAAUUAUAUUUAUAAAGAAAAUGAU